UUCACUAAUCCAGUCCGGGUACUGGAUCCAGAGAUUCGAGAGUCUGUAUUACGGCAUGUUCUGUCCAUAUCUUCUGCUGAGAGACGCGUUCGGACCGCAGACCAAAGUUGUUAAAAUGUGAAGCUCAGAUACCGUAAAGGUGCAUGAGCCCACUGUGGGCUAGUCGACGUGCUCUGUGCUUUCCGUACGCACCUUGUGAGACCGGUUAGUUCUCCUUAGCCCCCCAAGUGGUGUUCUGGCAGGACCUGGGGGCUUGGGCCAGGUGUGUCCGGCUGACCACAGGAUUGCCCACGACGUGGCUGUGGUGUUUACAGCCUUGUUACAAAUCCAAUGAUCUCACUUGGCUCUCUAACAGCCUGUGCAUUGCGAGGGUGGGUAUUAUCAUCUUUUUCUUUUUCUUUUUUUUUUUUUAAAGAUUUUAUUUAUUUAUUCA